rnacentral:sRNA from 1 species
AGCAGCCGCGGUAAUUCCAGCUCCAAUAGCGUAUAUUAAAGUUGUUGCAGUUAAAAAGCUCGUAGUUGAAUUUCGGGAUCAAGGGAUCGGUCAUGCCUUGGUAUGUACUGGUCUUAUUGGUUCUCACCUUCUAAAGAACCAUGAUGUCAUUCAUUUGAUGUUAUGGGGAAUUAGGACUGUUACCUUGAAAAAUUAGAGUGUUUAAAGCAAGCUUACGCUUGAAUACAUUAGCAUGGAAUAAUGAAAUAGGACAUCAGAUUCUAUUUUGUUGGUUUCUAGGAUCGAUGUAAUGAUUAAUAGGGAUAGUUGGGGGCAUUAGUAUUCAAUUGUCAGAGGUGAAAUUCUUGGAUUUAUUGAAGACUAACUACUGCGAAAGCAUUUGCCAAGGAUGUUUUCAUUAAUCAAGAACGAAAGUUAGGGGAUCGAAGACGAUCAGAUACCGUCGUAGUCUUAACCAUAAACUA